rnacentral:rRNA from 1 species
AUGUCCUGGCUUUUUGCACUAAGGGCCCUGAAAGAUAUGAAGAAAACGCCAUCGAGUCCAGCUCCAUCGCCACCGCUUCUGCACACCUCAGUGCAGUCAAGCACAACGCCGCCGGGGACAACACCACUUGGGGCGAGGUGCCGGGAGCCAACUGCACUGAAGCAAAGGGGCCUCCACAAUGGCAUAGAAGCCAGAAGGUUGAUGUUCACCUGCAAACGCCGACCGAAGAGAACCGAUGCCAAAGAAGAGGGAGGGAACGGUCACCCUUCGACCAUCUUAGAUGGCAGCCAACAAAGAGCCUCCAUGAUUUCGCUCCCGGGAGCAGCUUCCAUACUCCCGCCUCCAGAUCCAGCACCAGCCGACGCACGAGCUACAGACAAGCGUCCUCCAGAUCACCAAGACCAGAUAACACAGUUUGUAGGACACGGGCACCAGCACCAGAUUCGCAGAAGAAGCCAGCCUUAUUGCAAACGAAGAGAUCCCCACCGCAAGGAGGAAGAGCACUGGGAUGCUACAGAUCUGGCCAGAGAGAUCUGUAGAUUCUCUCCCGGCACAGCGCCAACUACCAGCAUCAAGCCGAGACCUAAACCAAAGCCUACAACUAGUAUGUACAGAGAUGCCGGCGUCUCUCCUUUGCCAUCUUCGACCGGCUAUUCCGGCGAGAGAGGCUCGGGAUUAACCCGGAGUUCCAUGGGGGACACUCAAGGGAGGCGGAGAACGAGAAGAGAGGGGGGUCGUUAG